rnacentral:rRNA from 1 species
UACGAAGGGGGCUAGCGUUGCUCGGAAUCACUGGGCGUAAAGGGUGCGUAGGCGGGUCUUAAGUCAGGGGUGAAAUCCUGGAGCUCAACUCCAGAACUGCCUUUGAUACUGAGGAUCUUGAGUUCGGGGAGAGGUGAGUGGAACUGCGAGUGUAGAGGUGAAAUUCGUAGAUAUUCGCAAGAACACCAGUGGCGAAGGCGGCUCACUGGCCCGAUACUGACGCUGAGGCACGAAAGCGUGGGGAGCAAACAGG